UGGGGAAUAUUGCACAAUGGGCGAAAGCCUGAUGCAGCAACGCCGCGUGAGUGAUGAAGGUCUUCGGAUUGUAAAGCUCUGUCUUUUGGGACGAUAAUGACGGUACCAAAGGAGGAAGCCACGGCUAACUACGUGCCAGCAGCCGCGGUAAUACGUAGGUGGCAAGCGUUGUCCGGAUUUACUGGGCGUAAAGGGUGCGUAGGUGGAUAUUUAAGUCAGAUGUGAAACCCCUGGGCUCAACUCAGGGACUGCAUUUGAAACUGGAUAUCUGGAGUGCAGGAGAGGUAAGUGGAAUUCCUAGUGUAGCGGUGAAAUGCGUAGAGAUUAGGAAGAACACCAGUGGCGAAGGCGACUUUCUGGACUGUAACUGACGCUGAGGCGCGAAAGCGUGGGGAGCAAACA
rnacentral:rRNA from 1 species